UGGGGAAUAUUGCACAAUGGGCGCAAGCCUGAUGCAGCAACGCCGCGUGAGGGACGACGGCCUUCGGGUUGUAAACCUCUUUUAGUAGGGAAGAAGCGAAAGUGACGGUACCUGCAGAAAAAGCACCGGCUAACUACGUGCCAGCAGCCGCGGUAAUACGUAGGGUGCAAGCGUUGUCCGGAAUUAUUGGGCGUAAAGAGCUCGUAGGCGGUUUGUCGCGUCUGCUGUGAAAAACCCGAGGCUCAACCUCGGGCCUGCAGUGGGUACGGGCAGACUAGAGUGCGGUAGGGGAGAAUGGAAUUCCUGGUGUAGCGGUGGAAUGCGCAGAUAUCAGGAGGAACACCGAUGGCGAAGGCAGUUCUCUGGGCCGUAACUGACGCUGAGGAGCGAAAGCGUGGGGAGCGAACAGGAUUAGAUACCCUGGUAGUCCACGCCGUAAACGUUGGGCGCUAGAUGUGGGGACCAUUCCACGGUUUCCGUGUCGCAGCUAACGCAUUAAGCGCCCCGCCUGGGGAGUACGGCCGCAA
rnacentral:rRNA from 1 species